rnacentral:rRNA from 1 species
UACGGAGGGUGCGAGCGUUGUCCGGAAUCAUUGGGCGUAAAGGGCGCGUAGGUGGCGGGACAAGCGUGCGGUGAAAGCCUGGGGCUCAACCCCGGGUCGGCCGUGCGAACUGUUUUGCUUGAGCACUGUAGAGGCAGGCGGAAUUCCGGGUGUAGCGGUGGAAUGCGUAGAGAUCCGGAAGAACACCGGUGGCGAAGGCGGCCUGCUGGGCAGUAGCUGACACUGAGGCGCGACAGCGGUGGGGAGCAAACAGG